CUGUCGUAUCUUGCAGCAUCCAAAGGUAUAAAGCCAAUAGCAGACAGGGCAAGUUCAAUAUGGUUGUACAUAGUACCUCAUGGUAUUAGAAGCUUAUUGAACUACAUCAAGCAAAAGUAUGAGAACCCUCUAAUCAUAAUCACUGAAAAUGGAAUGGAUGAUUCAAAUAGCAUAUUCACAUCACGAGAAUAUACUCUCAAGGAUACAAAAAGGAUCAAUUGUCACAAUAAC